rnacentral:rRNA from 1 species
AUUGAACGCUGGCGGCAGGCCUAACACAUGCAAGUCGAGCGAGCGGCGGACGGGCGAGUAAUGUAUGGGGAUCUGCCUGAUGGAGGGGGAUAACUACUGGAAACGGUAGCUAAUACCGCUUACCAUCAGAUGAACUCACAUGGGAUUAGCUUGUAGGGGAGGUAACGGCUCACCUAGGCGACGAUCCCUAGCUGGUCUGAGAGGAUGAUCGGCCACACUGGGACUGAGACACGGCCCAGACUCCUACGGGAGGCAGCAGUGGGGAAUAUUGCGCAAUGGGCGCAAGCCUGAUGCAGCCAUGCCGCGUGUAUGAAGAAGGCCUUCGGGUUGUAAAGUACUUUCGGUCGGGAGGCGUUACCGACAGAAGAAGCACCGGCUAACUCCGUGCCAGCAGCCGCGGUAAUUC